CUUUUAUGUGCUGAGCCUUUCCCUUCAACCUGGACUGAAAGAGGAUGGCAAUCUCGCUGAAGCUGUUUCUUUUUCUUCACAACAUAUAGGAAAGUGUUGCCCCUUUUUGGAGGGGCCAUAAAGAAAAUUGAUGAGGACAACUGGCCUCCCAGUAUGUGGAUUCAGUUUCCAUAUGUCAAUUUACCAACUCCCACUGGUAGUCUGAAGAGAUAUGGCUACUGGAGAACAGAAAAUCACCAGUAUUAAUAAAAGCAAUUUUAAGUGUUUACCUUUUAGUAUUUGAAUAGCUUUGUUAAAGAGACGUACUCAAGAAUACUAUGAAGAGACUCUUAUUGUACUCCUUACCUGGAGAUAAUUGUGAUGCCAGAAAUUCAAAUUUAUAUUCAACAAUAUGGUUUUUCAACCAUCAAUAUUAUAAACAUCUAGGCAGUGUCUAUUGUUUGCGCAUUUGCCAUCCUCUAAAAUGAGAUUAUUCUAAGCAUAAAUUAUACUUCAUCAUUCAAGAUUAUAAACAUUUAUAAUAAUCAUAAUAUUCACAGACAUUUCCCUGCUCUCAAAUCACUAGAGCUAAUAGGCAAAGUAGAUACAGCUACAAACAGUGGGAGAAAAUAUUUCUGGCUGACCUACAAAUAGCUGUGCAAUAAUGUAGAGAGGAAAAUAUAGUCUCACUUACAGUGUCUGAAAUUGAGUUUCCCUCUUUAAAGGACAAAGUAAUUUUCAAAAAUAUUUGAGUAUUAUUCUGUGUAAAAAAUCUCUGUUUUAACUGGCUUAUUGAAUUGUAUUUCUUUAUUGUGUUUGUAUUCACUUUUCCAUUUGUGGGUGGAAUUUAUUAUAAUUACCAGUUUUAUACUGAAUGAAACAAAAAUCUCAUAGAUUUAAUAAAACUUUAAAUUCCUUGUCAUUAAUAAUAAAAUGUAUAUGCUUUCUCUAAUAAGUCCAUACUUUAUUGUUUAAAACCUGUUUUUCCUCUUUCUCAAGCACAUGGAUUGUUAAUUUAAAUUCUGAAAUAAAGCCAAUUAAUCCAUAAACAUGGACUGUGGAUAAUGUCGAUAUUACAUGUAAAUUUCUCAGUGUGUGUUUCGUGGACCCAAUAGCAUCAGCAUUAGCUGGGGACUUACGAGGUGGCCUGUGCCUGUAGUCCCAGCUACUCAGGAGGCUGAGGCAGGAGAAUCGCUUGAACCUGGGAGGUGGAGGUUGGAGUGACCGAGAUCGUG
rnacentral:lncRNA from 1 species